GGCCUCCACUGUCCUGGGUUAACAGGGAGAGGUUCAGCAAAGCCCCUGGGAGAGGCCUUCAGAGGACAAGGACAUGCUGGUGUCUAUUCUGUCCCGCAACGCCACAUGCACAAACAAGGCACCUGGGAAACAAGCGACUGUCCAGUGGAUCAGUGUUUGUGACAACCAGAUUAUUUCCGGCAAAGCCAGCCUGCAGGAAAUGAGGGAGGUGGACAGUGUUUUGGCCAGCAGGAAGUCAAAGUAAACGCUGUGAGCCUCCCUCCCAAGGCCUUGCGGGGCUAUCACGCGUGUGGUCACAAAGGCCUCCUGACAAGCACCGGCUGUCCCAGAGCACAGAGCACAGAGCACGUGGUGUGGCACCCCAGAACCCUGGGCCCAAGUCCUGCCUCCCCCUCCUGCUAUGCAAUGGAGCCCUGGCAAGUUCCGGCCCUGCCUGGCCUCUAGUUCUUUGUCUGUAGAACGGGAUAGAAGCUGAGUAUCUCUAGCCGUGUCAGCCGUGGUCUGUGUGGGGGAGAAUCACACCUGAGCUCAGCUGUGUCAGUUAUUUUGAAUAUGCCUUUUGAAUGUGACCCCACAGUCUUUUCUGCUCCCUGUGCCAGUCACAAUCUGUCUUCUACCCACCCGCCGGCGACCCUGAGCGACAGGCCGGGCUCUUACUGGCUCGUUCUGGGGACACAUUGCCAGCAUCUCCGCUUCCAGUGAACAUGUACGGGAGCCGUUCCUACACGUGCUGUGUGUGAGCCCUUAACCCUGGAGGAAGCAUCCCGAGACCCAAAUCAUGGAGCUGAGCGAGACCAAGUCCACCGACCUCACC